AGGAAAGAGAGAAAGCUGCCAACAG
rnacentral:piRNA from 1 species